GAUGAACGCUAGCGGCAGGCCUAAUACAUGCAAGUCGAACGGUAAGUGUAGUAGCAAUAUUAUACGAGAGUGACGUACGGGUGCGUAACACGUAUGCAACCUACCCUUUACAGGAGGAUAGCUCGGGGAAACUCGAAUUAACCCUCCAUGAUAUCAUUUGGUGGCAUCAUUGAAUGAUUAAAACUCCGGUGGUAAAGGAUGGGCAUGCGUCUGAUUAGUUAGUUGGUGCGGGUAACGGCCCACCAAGACGAUGAUCAGUAGGGGAACUGAGAGGUUGAUCCCCCACACUGGCACUGAGAUACGGGCCAGACUCCUACGGGAGGCAGCAGUAGGGAAUAUUGGUCAAUGGAUGGAAUGCUGAACCAGCCAUGCCGCGUGCAGGAAGAAGGCCUUCUGGGUUGUAAACUGCUUUUGCCAGGGGAUAAAAAGACCGUGCGCGGUUAAUUGAAGGUACCUGGUGAAUAAGCCACGGCUAACUACGUGCCAGCCGCCGCCGUAAAAC
rnacentral:rRNA from 1 species